ACAGUGGAAUCAAAACUUAUCUGCAACAAGCAGGUCCCAAACCACAAUGUUACAAUGAAACUGAUCCAACUCUGAACUCCCUUGCUUGGUUUGUUAACUAUCUGGGACUAUUUAUCAACCAAGUAUCAGUAACUGAUCUUCAGUCCUUCUCUGACAGUGAAAUAGUGCUUCAGGAAUUUGCAGCAGAUCCAGACAACCUGGCGCUUAUUGAAAACCUGACAUUAUCAG